AUUGGUUUUUAUUUUUCCCUCCCUAUUUUUUCACAAAAUUUGCCAAAAAUUUUAAAAAUAUAUAACAAAAAUUAAAAAAUAUAUACAAAAACCUUUCACUCUCAAUGUUACUCACUCUCAGUUGUCAAUACCAGGGCUGUGAGCCCCAUUUGCGCUGACUGCACAGCGCCGCUCCGAUCGUCGCUCCGACCGCUGGUUCGACCGCCCCUCCGACCACCGCUCUGAUUUACAAUAGCAGACAGAUAGAAAUUAGCAAAGCAGCCAGAUCUAGUAGAUGAAUCCUAAUAAUCCAUCUGCCUUGCACUGGGCUAUACUUUCAUUAAAGAGGAUGAUGUGAGAAUCUAGUUCGAAAGAGCAUCAGGUGGAUUUACAGAAUUGUCAGUGGUUUGAAGAUCUGAAGUUCCUGCACUCUGUAGACUUUCUGUAGCUCUUUUCUUUGCCUUUGAACUUGAGCAAGAGGCUUCCCACUAUUACCUAAAGUCAUAAACUUUCAGUAUCAGGUUUUCAAGGGGUAAGUGAAAAGUCAAGGAUCUGAAUUUUGUACAAUCACCCAUGGUAGAGUUUUGCUGCAACUCACCCCAGGUUGACACACUUGAUCAUUCAGAUAUCACAUUAGGAAUUCUAAAGCCUUUCAGUUUUUUAGUUGAACCAAUAAUUGACAAGGUUCAGUUUUGUAGUUACACAUGUUGUGUACAACAUGCUAGAUGAAGAAGGUUUUAAACAGAUAGUGAAUAUUACCAUUAGAUAUGGUGCCGCCCUCACAAUCUAACUAGAAAGGUUUUCAUUAAGGAUGAGCUUGAGAUUAUUGUUAGAGCUUGUUGGACAUGGGAUAUUCUAGUUGCAACAGACGAGAUGUUCCAAAUGAAGGAGGAGAUGAAGAAAGUGAUGAAUAAAUUGACCUUACUUGAGAAUUUUCAAAUUGUUGAUAGAUAUUUUAGUAUCGAUCUUUUUGAUAUUGAAUUUUGUGAAACUUAUCGCCACUCGAACUUGAUACUUAAUGAUCAUGUGACUUUCACAUUUUGCUUUUGGAUUUAGAUUACUAGUUUGUUGGAUAAUUUUAAUUUGAAUUAUUAUUAAUGAAAAAAUGUUCUAUGAUGUAUAUAUAUAAUG